rnacentral:misc_RNA from 1 species
GAUGAAGAACGUAGCGAAAUGCGAUACUCGGUGUGAAUUGCAGAAUCCCGUGAACCAUCGAGUUUUUGAACGCAAGUUGCGCCCGAAGCCGUUAGGCCGAGGGCACGCCUGCCUGGGUGUCACACAUCGUUGCCCCAAUGCCAAUCGCCUCACUUUGUAGGUAUUUGCUUGGGGUGAAUGUUGGCCUCCCGUGAGCUUUGUCUCACGGUUGGUUGAAAAUCGAGUGCAUGGUGUUGGGUGUACCAUGAUGGAUGGUGGUUGAGUGAUGAUGCUCGAGACCAAUCAUGGGUAACUCCACCAGAAUUGGGCUCGGUGACCCACAUGCGUCCCUUGGAUGCUCCCUAAGGAGACCUCAGGUCAGGCGGGGCUACCCGCUGAGUUUAAGCAUAUCAAUAAGCGGAGGA